rnacentral:lncRNA from 1 species
GAUUUAAACAAACACGAGUUUUUUCUCUUGAGAAUUGACAGGUAUUUACUCCUUUAAGACUAUGCACACAGGCAAAUUAGAUUCCUACUGGUGGAGUGCAUCCCAUAAUAUGGCAGUAAUUAUCAGUUCUCCAGUGAAAAGGCAGUGAAGGAAUUUAAUUCUUUUGUCCUCCCAUUAUUAAAAACGAAACAGAAAAAUAUCGUACUUUGUUCACUUGUACUUUACUUUCUUCUCUGUGAUUUCUACCUUUAGCUUCAGAAAUGGGUCUUUGACCCUCUCCUCCUCUGAAACUUUUCAAUUUCUCGGUAGAAUGCAUUCUGCAAACACCGCUUCUUAUCCUAAUUGACUUGCUUUGGUCAGAUUUCUUCCCUUCCAUUCCACACUGUAUCAGUCUCUUCCUCCCUG